AGGGGGAAAAAGAUAAACCCUAAUUCAAUUCCCCAGAUUUUUCGAGAUUACACUUGUUCUCUGAUUCUAUCUACACAGAGAACCACCGAUUCGAGCAAGCGUAGCCAUGGGGAUUCUAUCAUGGUUAACGGGAAGUCCUAAGCCGUCACAGUCCGAGACGUCUAAGCCGGAGAUGAUUCAGAUGCCGAAAUCAGAAACUCCAGCUCCAGGGAUGAACGGAGCCAUAGAAGUUCCUCGACCCGAUCGCGCGACGGUUUUUGAGUUCGGCUCCGUUGCGGCGACCGGAGACAGAGUCACUCUCGCUGGAUACUGUCCCGUUUCCGAAGAUCUCGAACCUUGCCGUUGGGAGAUUCUUCCCGCCGACGGCAAAGACGCCCCGCAGUUUCGCGUCGUCUUCUGAAGUAUCAAUCACUAGUUAAUUCCCAGAUCCGAGUUAUGUAAUCUCGUCUUCAAGAAUUGUAUUUUGUUCUGCGGCGCAAUUGAAGCGUGGGAUAUCGAGACAGUUCUCGACAGGAUCAAUGCGGCGAACGCUAAGCCGACAAUUCACGCGCCAAAACUCUCUGGAUCCACGCCGUAACAACAUGAGGUUCAGCUUCGGUCGUCAAUCAUCGCUUGAUCCAAUACGACGUAGCCCUGAGUCUCUUAGCUGCGGGCCGCAUAUGUCUGUCCCCGAGAAUCUCGAUUCGACGAUGCAGCUUCUCUUUAUGGCGAGUAGAGGUGAUGUGAAUGGCGUUGAGGAGCUGCUUAAUGAAGGAAUCGAUGUGAAUAGCAUUGAUCUUGAUGGUCGUACGGCUCUUCACAUCGCCUCUUGUGAAGGUCAUUACGAAGUUGUUAAGGUUCUUCUUAGCCGGAGAGCUAACAUUGAUGCUCGUGAUCGU